rnacentral:rRNA from 1 species
CUUACACAUGCAAGUCGAACGGCAGCACGGGUGCUUGCACCUGGUGGCGAGUGGCGAACGGGUGAGUAAUACAUCGGAACAUGUCCUGUAGUGGGGGAUAGCCCGGCGAAAGCCGGAUUAAUACCGCAUACGAUCUACGGAUGAAAGCGGGGGACCUUCGGGCCUCGCGCUAUAGGGUUGGCCGAUGGCUGAUUAGCUAGUUGGUGGGGUAAAGGCCUACCAAGGCGACGAUCAGUAGCUGGUCUGAGAGGACGACCAGCCACACUGGGACUGAGACACGGCCCAGACUCCUACGGGAGGCAGCAGUGGGGAAUUUUGGACAAUGGGCGAAAGCCUGAUCCAGCAAUGCCGCGUGUGUGAAGAAGGCCUUCGGGUUGUAAAGCACUUUUGUCCGGAAAGAAAUCCCUGGCUCUAAUACAGUCGGGGGAUGACGGUACCGGAAGAAUAAGCACCGGCUAACUACGUGCCAGCAGCCGCGGUAAUACGUAGGGUGCGAGCGUUAAUCGGAAUUACUGGGCGUAAAGCGUGCGCAGGCGGUCUGUUAAGACAGAUGUGAAAUCCCCGGGCUCAACCUGGGAACUGCAUUUGUGACUGGCAGGCUAGAGUAUGGCAGAGGGGGGUAGAAUUCCACGUGUAGCAGUGAAAUGCGUAGAGAUGUGGAGGAAUACCGAUGGCGAAGGCAGCCCCCUGGGCCAAUACUGACGCUCAUGCACGAAAGCGUGGGGAGCAAACAGGAUUAG